rnacentral:rRNA from 1 species
UACGGAGGGUGCAAACGUUGCUCGGAAUCAUUGGGCGUAAAGCGCACGUAGGCGGCGCGUUAAGUCGGGUGUGAAAGCCCUGGGCUCAACCCAGGAAGUGCAUUCGAAACUGGCGCGCUUGAAUAUGGAAGAGGGUCGCGGAAUUCCCGGUGUAGAGGUGAAAUGCAUUGAGAUCGGAAAGAACACCAACGGCGAAAGCACUCUGCUGGGCCGACACUGACACUGAGAGACGAAAGCUAGGGGAGCAAAUGGG